CCUUCCCUCACCUUGUUCUCUUCACCUCGUCCCUCUUUAGCAACCCUCACUGAGUCAGUUUCCCAUCUCAACUCUGUAUAGAAUCCCCACCGCUCAAUAUCGCUGUAGCAUAGGUGAAAGGAAAACAUAGCUAGCCCUUUGACAUCGCGGCUGCUUAUCCUUCUCGGAUCAUUGAAGUAGCUCGUCGACGCUUCUUACUGGUGAGUGCUCGGGUUUUCAAUUUUCAGUUAACAUAUCUUUGGGUCUUCAUCUCACAUAUGACAAAUCUUUAGUGUUUUAUUUAUUUAGUUUUUGUUUUCUUGUACAGCUCUGUUCCAUGUGAAUAUACCAACUGGAUUCAGAUACAUAAUUUACAAUUGACUGAUUCAAAUUUUACAGAUUUAGAAUUUAAUGUGCAGUGUUUAAAUAAUUGCGUUUGGCAUGUGGACUAGUAUCAGAAUUUUUUUUGCCUAAUUUUUGAAUUAUGGGUUUAGGGUUCACGCAAGAUUUGCCCAAAAAAGGCUUCUAAUUUUGGACAUCUAGGAAUAUCAUCCCAAGUUGUGCUGGAUGCUACCAGUGCAAAGCGUGAGAGAAGAGUUGGUCCAGUUUGGUUUUCAUUAGUAGCUUCUGAGGACCAGUGAGAAUUGUUUGCAACUUCUAACUUCUAAAAAAAAAUUUACUUCACUAGGAUAUUAGAAAUUAGAAUUUGUUUGCUUACAACUUGCAUUUGGUUGUGUUCCUACUUGUUACGUAUCAAUUGUUUCAGGGAGGGAGACGCACCCUUGCCACAAAUUCCAGCAAAUUACUUGAGGAUAAAGUACUGAAGAUUUGGACAGAGAGCCUAGUAGACCACAGACUAGGUGAGGCCGUUCACAGUUUUGCAUAGUGUCCGCGUCACCUCACAAGUUACAGUGCAUUGGUAGGACACUAG
rnacentral:misc_RNA from 1 species